UGCGUAGGGGGCUAGCGUUGUCCGGAAUCAUUGGGCGUAAAGAGCGUGUAGGCGGCCCGGUAAGUCCGCUGUGAAAGUCGGGGGCUCAACCCUCGAAUGCCGGUGGAUACUGUCGGGCUAGAGUGCGGAAGAGGCGAGUGGAAUUCCUGGUGUAGCGGUGAAAUGCGCAGAUAUCAGGAGGAACACCGAUUGCGAAGGCAGCUCGCUGGGACGUAACUGACGCUGAGACGCGAAAGCGUGGGGAGCAAACAGG
rnacentral:rRNA from 1 species